AGCUUGCUAGAUUGAUGGCGAGUGGCGAACGGGUGAGUAAUACAUCGGAACGUGCCCUGUAGUGGGGGAUAACAAGUCGAAAGAUUAGCUAAUACCGCAUACGACCUGAGGGUGAAAGUGGGGGACCGCAAGGCCUCAUGCUAUAGGAGCGGCCGAUGUCUGAUUAGCUAGUUGGUGGGGUAAAGGCCCACCAAGGCGACGAUCAGUAGCUGGUCUGAGAGGACGAUCAGCCACACUGGGACUGAGACACGGCCCAGACUCCUACGGGAGGCAGCAGUGGGGAAUUUUGGACAAUGGGCGAAAGCCUGAUCCAGCAAUGCCGCGUGUGUGAAGAAGGCCUUCGGGUUGUAAAGCACUUUUGUCCGGAAAGAAAUGGCUCUGGUUAAUACCUGGGGUCGAUGACGGUACCGGAAGAAUAAGGACCGGCUAACUACGUGCCAGCAGCCGCGGUAAUACGUAGGGUCCAAGCGUUAAUCGGAAUUACUGGGCGUAAAGCGUGCGCAGGCGGUUGUGCAAGACCGAUGUGAAAUCCCCGAGCUUAACUUGGGAAUUGCAUUGGUGACUGCACGGCUAGAGUGUGUCAGAGGGGGGUAGAAUUCCACGUGUAGCAGUGAAAUGCGUAGAGAUGUGGAGGAAUACCGAUGGCGAAGGCAGCCCCCUGGGAUAACACUGACGCUCAUGCACGAAAGCGUGGGGAGCAAACAGGAUUAGAUACCCUGGUAGUCCACGCCCUAAACGAUGUCAACUAGUUGUUGGGGAUUCAUUUCCUUAGUAACGUAGCUAACGCGUGAAGUUGACCGCCUGGGGAGUACGGUCGCAAGAUUAAAACUCAAAGGAAUUGACGGGGACCCGCACAAGCGGUGGAUGAUGUGGAUUAAUUCGAUGCAACGCGAAAAACCUUACCUACCCUUGACAUGCCACUAACGAAGCAGAGAUGCAUUAGGUGCUCGAAAGAGAAAGUGGACACAGGUGCUGCAUGGCUGUCGUCAGCUCGUGUCGUGAGAUGUUGGGUUAAGUCCCGCAACGAGCGCAACCCUUGUCUCUAGUUGCUACGAAAGGGCACUCUAGAGAGACCGCCGGUGACAAACCGGAGGAAGGUGGGGAUGACGUCAAGUCCUCAUGGCCCUUAUGGGUAGGGCUUCACACGUCAUACAAUGGUGCAUACAGAGGGUUGCCAAGCCGCGAGGUGGAGCUAAUCCCAGAAAAUGCAUCGUAGUCCGGAUCGUAGUCUGCAACUCGACUACGUGAAGCUGGAAUCGCUAGUAAUCGCGGAUCAGCAUUCCGCGCUGAUACGUUCCCGGGUCUUGUACACACCGCCCGUCACACCAUGGGAGUGGGCUUUACCAGAAGUAGUUAGCC
rnacentral:rRNA from 1 species